AAAGGAAGCGAUUCCGGCAACGGAUGGGCAUGCGUGACAUUAGCUAGUUGGCGGGGCAACGGCCCACCAAGGCGACGAUGUCUAGGGGUUCUGAGAGGAAGGUCCCCCACACUGGUACUGAGACACGGACCAGACUCCUACGGGAGGCAGCAGUGAGGAAUAUUGGUCAAUGGGCGCGAGCCUGAACCAGCCAAGUCGCGUGAGGGAUGACGGCCCUACGGGUUGUAAACCUCUUUUGUCGGGGAGCAAAUUCCGCCACGCGUGGCGGAGUCGAGAGUACCCGAAGAAAAAGCAUCGGCUAACUCCGUGCCAGCAGCCGCGGUAAUACGGAGGAUGCGAGCGUUAUCCGGAUUUAUUGGGUUUAAAGGGUGCGUAGGCGGACUGUCAAGUCAGCGGUAAAAUACGGGGGCUCAACCUCCGCCCGCCGUUGAAACUGACGGUCUUGAGUGGGCGAGAAGUAUGCGGAAUGCGUGGUGUAGCGGUGAAAUGCAUAGAUAUCACGCAGAACUCCGAUUGCGAAGGCAGCAUACCGGCGCCCAACUGACGCUGAAGCACGAAAGCGUGGGUAUCGAACAGGAUUAGAUACCCUGGUAGUCCACGCAGUAAACGAUGAAUACUAGCUGUCCGGGGCGAAUGAGCCCUGG
rnacentral:rRNA from 1 species